rnacentral:tRNA from 1 species
GAGGGUAUGAGGCUUUCCUCUGGCUGGCAGCCAGAAGGUCAGGGGUUCAAGUCCCCUAUCCUCCA